GAUGAACGCUAGCGGCAGGUCUAAUACAUGCAAGUCGAACGGUGGCAGCAAUGUCACAGUGGCGCACGGGUGCGUAACGCGUAGGCAAUCUGCCUACUCCUGGGGGAUAGCCCGCCGAAAGGUGGAUUAAUACCGCAUAAGACUACAGGGCGGCAUCGUCUAGUAGUUAAAGAAUUUCGGGAGUAGAUGAGCCUGCGUGCCAUUAGCUAGUUGGUGCGGUAACGGCGCACCAAGGCGACGAUGGCUAGGGGAGCUGAGAGGCCGAUCCCCCACACUGGCACUGAGAUACGGGCCAGACUCCUACGGGAGGCAGCAGUAGGGAAUAUUGGGCAAUGGGCGCGAGCCUGACCCAGCCAUGCCGCGUGACGGAUGAAGGCCUUCUGGGUUGUAAACGUCUUUUGAUCGGGAAGAAAAAGCCCUUGCGAGGGAAAUCGACGGUACCGAUUGAAUAAGCACCGGCUAACUCCGUGCCAGCAGCCGCCGUAAAAC
rnacentral:rRNA from 1 species